AUAUAUAAAAUAUAAACCACGAGGAUCUACUUCAUAUGCUAAAAUUGAACAUAUGCUGAAAUUGAUUAUGUGAUCGAAUCACAUACCUAUUUCAUAAUUUCUUUCUUCAAAUCUAGAUCUGAAAGAGAAGAGACUUUCUCUUAGCUGUGCAAGUACUCGACCUCUAUAGGUAUCCACUCAAGAUCAGUUUGGAAUAGCCCUUGUUGGUGUAGAAUUCUGUCGAAGUCGGAGAAGCUGGAGCUGGGAUGACCGCGGCCGC
rnacentral:lncRNA from 1 species